GGAGGGUUGCCCGAGCGGCCAAAGGGAGCAGGCUGUAAACCUGCCGGCAUUGCCUACGCUGGUUCGAAUCCAGCACCCUCCA
rnacentral:tRNA from 1 species